UACAGAGGGUGCAAGCGUUAAUCGGAAUUACUGGGCGUAAAGCGUGCGUAGACGGUUAUGUAAGUCGGGUGUGAAAGCCCCGGGCUCAACCUGGGAAUGCCAUUCGAGACUGCAUAGCUAGGGUGCGGAAGAGGGAAGCGGAAUUUCCGGUGUAGCGGUGAAAUGCGUAGAUAUCGGAAGGAACACCAGUGGCGAAAGCGGCUUCCUGGUCCAGCACCGACGUUCAGGCACGAAGGCCAGGGGAGCAAACGGG
rnacentral:rRNA from 1 species